GGUGGGGUGACUGCGUACCUUUUGUAUAAUGGGUCAGCGACUUAUAUUCUGUAGCAAGGUUAACCGUAUAGGGGAGCCGAAGGGAAACCGAGUCUUAACUGGGCGUUAAGUUGCAGGGUAUAGACCCGAAACCCGGUGAUCUAGCCAUGGGCAGGUUGAAGGUUGGGUAACACUAACUGGAGGACCGAACCGACUAAUGUUGAAAAAUUAGCGGAUGACUUGUGGCUGGGGGUGAAAGGCCAAUCAAACCGGGAGAUAGCUGGUUCUCCCCGAAAGCUAUUUAGGUAGCGCCUCGUGAACUCAUCUUCGGGGGUAGAGCACUGUUUCGGCUAGGGGGUCAUCCCGACUUACCAACCCGAUGCAAACUGCGAAUACCGAAGAAUGUUAUCACGGGAGACACACGGCGGGUGCUAACGUCCGUCGUGAAGAGGGAAACAACCCAGACCGCCAGCUAAGGUCCCAAAGUCACAGUUAAGUGGGAAACGAUGUGGGAAGGCUCAGACAGCCAGGAUGUUGGCUUAGAAGCAGCCAUCAUUUAAAGAAAGCGUAAUAGCUCACUGGUCGAGUCGGCCUGCGCGGAAGAUGUAACGGGGCUAAACUGUGCACCGAAGCUGCGGCAGCGACGCUUAUGCGUUGUUGGGUAGGGGAGCGUUCUGUAAGCCUGCGAAGGUGUCCUGUGAGGGAUGCUGGAGGUAUCAGAAGUGCGAAUGCUGACAUAAGUAACGAUAAUGCGGGUGAAAAGCCCGCUCGCCGGAAGACCAAGGGUUCCUGUCCAACGUUAAUCGGGGCAGGGUGAGUCGACCCCUAAGGCGAGGCCGAAAGGCGUAGUCGAUGGGAAACGGGUUAAUAUUCCCGUACUUGGUGUUACUGCGAAGGGGGGACGGAGAAGGCUAUGUUGGCCGGGCGACGGUUGUCCCGGUUUAAGCGUGUAGGCUGGUUUUCCAGGCAAAUCCGGAAAAUCAAG
rnacentral:rRNA from 3 species